rnacentral:tRNA from 1 species
UCCCUGGUGGUCCAGUGGCUAUGACUUUGCACUUCCAAUGCGGGGGCCUGGGUUCAAUCCCUGGUCUGAGAA